GGAGAGGUGGCAGAGUGGUCGAAUGUACCGCACUCGAAAUGCGGCGUGCCUUUGCGGGCACCGUGGGUUCGAAUCCCACCCUCUCCG
rfam:Brevundimonas sp. Root1423 contig_30, whole genome shotgun sequence.